rnacentral:rRNA from 1 species
AUUGAACGCUGGCGGCAGGCCUAACACAUGCAAGUCGAGCGGUUGAAGGGAGCUUGCUCCUGGAUUCAGCGGCGGACGGGUGAGUAAUGCCUAGGAAUCUGCCUGGUCGUGGGGGAUAAGAUCCGAAAACGGGACCAAUUCCAGUAUCGGUCAUAGGGUGUAAAGAGGGGGUUUUUGGGACUAAACGCUAUCAGCUUAGCUUAGAUCGGAUUGCGUGUUGGGUGGGUUAAAGGCCUACCAAGGCGACGAUCCGUAACUGGUCUGAGAGGAUGAUCAGUCACACUGGAACUGAGACACGGUCCAGACUCCUACGGGAGGCAGCAGAGGGGAAUAUUGGACAAUGGGCGAAAGCCUGAUCCAGCCAUGCCGCGUGUGUGAAGAAGGUCUUCGGAUUUUAAAGCACUUUAAGUUGGGAGGAAGGGCAGUAAGUUAAUACCUUGCUGUUUUGACGUUACCAACAGAAUAAGCACCGGCUAACUUCGUG